rnacentral:ncRNA from 1 species
AAAGAAGGGGUGUCGCGGUCAGGCGGCUGAGAGGAGCUUCGAGCUUAAACCCUUUGCCCUGUUGGGCAGGAACCUGAUCCGGGUAAUACCGGCGUAGGGAGCAUUU